UACGAAGGGGGCUAGCGUUACUCGGAAUCACUGGGCGUAAAGGGUGCGUAGGCGGGUCUUUAAGUCAGGGGGGAAAUCCUGGAGCUCAACUCCAGAACUGCCUUUGAUACUGAAGAUCUUGAGUUCGGGAGAGGUGAGUGGAACUGCGAGUGUAGAGGUGAAAUUCGUAGAUAUUCGCAAGAACACCAGUGGCGAAGGCGGCUCACUGGCCCGAUACUGACGCUGAGGCACGAAAGCGUGGGGAGCAAACAGG
rnacentral:rRNA from 1 species